rnacentral:tRNA from 1 species
UGCCAAAUAGCUCAAUUGGUACAGCACCUGACUAGAGAUUCAGGCGGCCUUGGUUUGAAUCCUGGUUUGGUCU